GCAGGCCGGGUGACCGCGUCGGUUGCGCAAGCAGCCGCCGAGGAAAGUCCGGACACCACAGGGCAGGACGCUGGGGAAAUCCCAGGGGGCGAAAGCCGACGGAAAGUGGAACAGAAAGCAAACCGCCUGCGACGUGUUCUCCGGAGACGUCGCAGGUAAGGGUGAAACGGUGGGGUAAGAGCCCACCAGCGCCGUGGUGACACGGCGGCUCGUCAAACCCCGUCCGGUGCAAGGUGAAGCAGAUCCCGUUGAGGCGGCCCGCCGAGGGAUCGGGUACACCGCUCGAGCCGUGAGGCAACUCCCGGCCUAGAGGGAUGGUCACCCUCGACAGAAUCCGGCUUACAGGCCUGCUACC
rnacentral:RNase_P_RNA from 1 species